CCUGCUUGUGUUUAUUUUAGAAUAUGAGAACGAUUUACCACGCCUGAUGGCCUUUACACGCAUUUUGAUGUAGAUAUAGAACAUCAAAUAGGAAAAACAGGACGAAUCAUAGACUAUGUGAGAAGGAAUUUUGUGGUUAAACAACACGUGUGAACUAAAAUGUUUUGCUCCUAAUUUUAGAUUAGGUUUGCCUUUCCGUAAAGCACAGUCUGUAUAAAGUAUAUAUAAAUGUGUAAUGUUACAUAUUGUCGCUUGUGCUCCAAGCAAAAGAGAACAAGGAAAAGAGAGCUGUGCAUUUUCUUCCUUCGGCAAUUCUAUCGGCGCAUUUUAAAAUGAAAGGCGUUUGUUUUCCAUUGAGCUUCAUUUGGAUCGAUUGGCUCAACCAUAGUUCGUUCGACAAACGUGGUAUUAUCUUGAUUAUCCACGAUGAUGACAGUAUUCGUCCU